rnacentral:rRNA from 1 species
UACAGAGGUCCCAAGCGUUGUUCGGAUUCAUUGGGCGUAAAGGGUGCGUAGGUGGCAUGGUAAGUCGGGUGUGAAAUCCCGGGGCUCAACCCCGGAACUGCACUCGAUACUGCCGUGCUCGAGUACUGGAGAGGAGACUGGAAUUUACGGUGUAGCAGUGAAAUGCGUAGAUAUCGUAAGGAAGACCGGUGGCGAAGGCUAGUCUCUGGACAGUUACUGACACUGAGGCACGAAGGCCGAGGGGAGCAAACGGG